rnacentral:misc_RNA from 1 species
AAAAAUCAUUUUCAGUGACUAUCAUAGCUUGUGACUCUCAUGCAAGGCAGUUGUCCCUUCUUGUCUCACAUAUGUAUCAGAAAAUAGAAUACCUACAAUUUUCAGUGGUUUCUUCUUAAUUUGGCAAGCUUCUACAUUGAAAUUAACACUAAUUUAAUUUCCCCCAUACUGUUAUUACACAGGAGGAUUGGGUUUUGUGUAGA